CCCUAUAAUAGUUGGAAUCUCA
rnacentral:snRNA from 1 species